GAUGAACGCUGGCUACAGGCUUAACACAUGCAAGUCGAGGGGUAACGAGAGGAAAGCUUGCUUUCCUUGUCGACGACCGGCGCACGGGUGAGUAACGCGUAUCCAACCUGCCCCCAACUAGGGAAUAACCUUGCGAAAGUAAGACUAAUACCCUAUAAUUUCCUCAGAUGACAUCUGACGAGGAAUAAAGAUUUAUCGGUUGUGGAUGGGGAUGCGUCUGAUUAGCUUGUUGGCGGGGUAACGGCCCACCAAGGCAACGAUCAGUAGGGGUUCUGAGAGGAAGGUCCCCCACAUUGGAACUGAGACACGGUCCAAACUCCUACGGGAGGCAGCAGUGAGGAAUAUUGGUCAAUGGGCGGAAGCCUGAACCAGCCAAGUAGCGUGCGGGAUGACGGCCCUAUGGGUUGUAAACUGCUUUUAUACAGGAAUAAAGUUAGCCACGUGUGGUUAUUUGUAGGUACUGUAUGAAUAAGGACCGGCUAAUUCCGUGCCAGCAGCCGCGGUAA
rnacentral:rRNA from 1 species